UACGUAGGUCCCGAGCGUUGUCCGGAUUUAUUGGGCGUAAAGCGAGCGCAGGUGGUUUAUUAAAUCUGGUGUAAAAGGCAGUGGCUCAACCAUUGUAUGCAUUGGAAACUGGUAGACUUGAGUGCAGGAGAGGAGAGUGGAAUUCCAUGUGUAGCGGUGAAAUGCGUAGAUAUAUGGAGGAACACCGGUGGCGAAAGCGGCUCUCUGGCCUGUAACUGACACUGAGGCUCGAAAGCGCGGGGAGCAAACAGG
rnacentral:rRNA from 1 species